AUUGAACGCUGGCGGCAUGCUUUACACAUGCAAGUCGAACGGCAGCGCGGGCUUCGGCCUGGCGGCGAGUGGCGAACGGGUGAGUAAUGCAUCGGAACGUGCCCAGUAGUGGGGGAUAGCGCGGCGAAAGCCGGAUUAAUACCGCAUACGACCUGAGGGUGAAAGCGGGGGACCGAAAGGCCUUGCGCUAUUGGAGCGGCCGAUGUCGGAUUAGCUAGUUGGUGGGGUAAAGGCUUACCAAGGCGACGAUCCGUAGCUGGUCUGAGAGGACGACCAGCCACACUGGGACUGAGACACGGCCCAGACUCCUACGGGAGGCAGCAGUGGGGAAUUUUGGACAAUGGGGGCAACCCUGAUCCAGCCAUGCCGCGUGCGGGAAGAAGGCCUUCGGGUUGUAAACCGCUUUUGUUCGGGAAGAAAUCCUCUGGGCUAAUACCCCGGGGGGAUGACGGUACCGGAAGAAUAAGCACCGGCUAACUACGUG
rnacentral:rRNA from 1 species